GUUACUUCUGGAUAUAUGCCCAGGAGCGGGAUUCCUGGGUCAUAUGGUAAGUCUAUUCCUAGUCUUUUGAGGAAUCUCCAUGCUGUUUUCCACAGUGGCUGCACCAAACUGCAUUUUUAAUUGCUUUCAUAUUUUCUGAUUCUAUUUCUGACAGUCUUAUAUUUCACCUGAUAAGCAUGUAUUUUACAAACUGAAAAAAUAAACUCCAAACAAAAUAAAACCCCAAAGAAUUAACACCAACAAUUGGACUUAAAUAAGGAAGGAAAUAGAAAAGGGAAAUAUGAAGUGGGCCCUCUGUGCACUGUGUGUGUGCGCACGCGCGUGUGUGUUUUAGGGGGAGUGGACAUCAUCCUGGAGGCCUGGGGUGAUGAGAUGCUCAGGCCUGGCCUCCCAGGACCUGCAUAGAGCGCAUCCAACUCUCAUCACAGAUCCCCUGCGGGGAUUCAGGACACAGGAAGUGAGAGGAGAGUGACCUAGAGCCGCAUCCUUGGGGUUCCAGGCUGAACUGUGCCCCCCUCCCCAGAAGAUGGUGAAGCCCUAGCCCCAGGCCUGUGACAGGGCUUUAUUUAGAAACAGAGGCUUGGCUGAACAUCAUCAAAUUAGGAUGAGGUCGUGCAGGUGGGCCGCCAUCCAAUGUGACUGCAUCCUUAUAUACGGGGUUGGGGGGACAGGACAGGACUUGGACACAGAGGAAGGCCAUGUGAAGACAGGACACCAGAAGCUGGGAGAGAGGCCAGAGCAGAUUCUCCCUCACAGCCUCAGAGGGAACCAGCCCUGCCCACGCCUUGAUCUUGGCUUCUGGCCUCCAGAACCCUGAGGCGGUAUUUCCGUUUUUUAAGCCCCUGACGUGUGGUACUUCAUCACAGCAGCCCCGAAAACCGAUGUGCUCUGCCUUCCAAGUCUUUUUCUCCCAUGUGUCCAUGAGGUGCUAAGUGAAGCCCGGUCCCUGGCACUGACCCGGGUGAUGCUGUGUUUAUCUCUCCCUCCUCCCCCCUCGCCUGGCUUCUGCUCCCUCCUCCCCCGUUAUUUUACUGGCAGUUCAGGAAGUGAGAGCUUAUACAGACAGAAGGCUUUGCUUUCAUUCAUGGACCGGGCCACGGAAUUCCUCUGGUUCUCCUUGAAGUCAGGGAAGCCCGAUGAGUGAGGUGGGGCCGGUGACGCUGGAUGUGGCAGAAGGUGGCAAAGCGUAGAGGCCGCACCUGGAGGCAGCGGUCCCCCUCGGCCCCGCCGGUGGCUGGCCAGCGGGGCGGGUCUGCUGAUGAACGCAGACAAAGGCUUGUACAGUUCUUUCAUCCCGUUUCCCUUGUAUUUUCAACUGACACCUGUUUUUCUCUCUUUCAGUAUACUCCCCAAGUCCAGAACCGCUUUGGCUAAUCACAAAAGCAGUCUGCCUAGGAAACAGGGUUAAACUGUCCUUCAGACCUGAAGGAAGUUCCCCGAGAGAAGUAACAGGACUGAACUCAUCUCAUUAAGGCAGUCUGUCUGUCCGUCCACACCCGCCUGCCUCUUUCAUUCUGAAGGAUCCAGGAAGAUGUCUUCCCAGCUCCACUCAGAUCCAACAUCUCCUCUUCGCAAUCACCCAGUCAGUGUUCCAUCCCAACCUAGUACCUAAUGAAACGAUUUUGUUGAGAAUUGGCCAUUUACUCAACUGACCUUUUCCACACAAAUCUUGUUAUAAAGUUAGCCUUUUGUAUCAACAGCUUUUUAUUUAUUUAGGGGAAAAAAUGUUGGUGUUGAGAUCUGAUGAUUACAUUAGUGUGUUAUCAGCUCAGAUCAUCAAUAAACAGCUCUGUGGUUGAUACGCCUGGCGAUUGGAAGCAUAUUAAAUAUAUAAAUGGUCUCAUUUUAUGCAGCUGAUUCAGUGAAAGGAGAGUGGUAGGUGAGGACAGCGGAUUUUUUUUAAGUUUAAAAAAAGUGGGCUAGAACUAUGCAUGCCUCGUUUAUUUUGAGUAACAAUCCAUCUUUGUAUCUUAAAUCUAAGUGUGUGUAUACAUAUAAAUACAUACUCAUAGUAGAGGAUAUGUGUCUGAUCCUUUCUGUAAAAAGUGACCUUAUAUUUUAGAGAGCUUAACCGCUCACAAUUUCAAAUAGACGCAUUAAAGACACAGCAAAUUUAGGAAUACAGAUGUGAUGCUGAGUUGUAGGAACAGAUGCUUGCCUUAGAGCAAGGCGUCUGAGCUGUUGACAUGGUUUAUAAAUAAAUUAAUUCUCAGCUAAGGUGCCCAUUUGUUUUUGCCAGCAUUGAAUUUCACUUGUGACUUAAGUUACGGCUUUCAAAUUAGGUUACAAGUUUGACUUGGGUGUCUUGUAACUUUGUAAGAUGACUGUGCGUGCUGUGCAGAGUGGGCUGGGUGUUACCCAGGAAGGAAGCAGGGCGAGCCACUAGGGUGCAGAGAGGACACCUCAGAGCUUCCAGGUUAUGUUCCGUGUGGAUGUUUUGCACUGCCCAGAAGGUUGGGAGCACGAGUUAGAAAGGAGGCCCGCUUUGGCGACCACGUAACCUGACACUGGUUCUUAGGGUGGGGGGAGGGGCUUGGGAGUUGGGGGGCUCAGCACACUGGUGGAGCCCUCCCCCCGCUGCCUCUUCCUCCUGUGUGGCUCCUGUUGGCCCCAGAGGGUCUUGGGGUGACCAGUCUUCCCAGUUUGCCUCCAGCUGAUGGGGUUCCCAGGAUAUGGGAUUUCCAGCCUUAAAAUCGGGACUGCCCCAGGCAGACUGACAGGUGGGGCACCUUAGCGGUCCGAGUGGGGCAGGUGCCCCGGCCUAAGUCAUCCCCAGAACUAGGAAAGCAGCUAAUGUUCGUGUCCUUCUCCUUGUGGGCAACGCGGAUUAUAGUGAUGUCCGCUCCCAGGCAUUAGUUUUGUACUUAACCUUCCUUUUAUCCUAAGAAUUCACCACUUCUUGUUUCCAAAGGAGCGUUUUUUUGACAGACAUUCUAAUGGGACAUUUAGUUGGAAUGUUCUCAGCGAACAAA